UACGUAGGUGGCAAGCGUUGUCCGGAUUUAUUGGGUUUAAAGGGUGCGUAGGCGGUCUAUUAAGUCAGUGCUGAAAUAUCCCGGCUUAACCGGGAGGGUGGCAUUGAUACUGAUGGACUUGAGUAAAGUUGAGGUAGGCGGAAUUGACGGUGUAGCGGUGAAAUGCUUAGAUAUCGUCAAGAACACCGAUAGUGUAGACAGCUUACUAAGCUUUAACUGACGCUGAGGCACGAAAGUGUGGGGAUCAAACAGG
rnacentral:rRNA from 1 species